UUUUUUUUUUUUUUCUGGUUUCGAAUUUUUUAAAAAGUGGUCAUGCUAAUUUUUAUUACUUAAAUAGGUUAAUGCUAACACCUAAAAGUGUCACCAGUGCCCUGAGGUGGAUGUGGAUCACACACUUGGAAAAUGGGCACUUUGUCUACUCCACAUGUGACUGUGGACCUCCAGACCUUGAUGCAGCCAGGGAUCUGAGGCUGAGAUAUGUCAGACAGCUAGAAGGGACAUGUGUGCCCGUUUGUUUACCUCAAUGGGGAAUCUGUCCCUUAAGAAAGACCUGCCAAACUUGAACUGUGACCUAAGUCACAGUCAAACGAAACUUACAUUUUACAUAAAUUUUUACUGAAUUGCAAAAAUUAGUAAGUGGUGCUUAAAGGACAUUUCUUUUGUUGCAAAUAACAAAUUGGGGAAUGGAAAAACAAUUGACAUGCAUUUUAACAAAUUAUUUUAAAAAUGACUUCCAAAUUAUAAAAGUUCACCCCUAUUUCAUUCUGAAAAGCCUAGUUUAUAUGAAAAGAUGGUAUCAUUGAUGUUUUAUUUUCAACAAGUAAAACUAAGAUGAACAGUAUUUGUCUGAGAUUUCUACUUGGAAGGACAUGACCCAGAGAGCCAGGCACGUUGGCUCUUAACUGUAGUGCCAGCUACUCAGGAGGCUGAGGCAGGAGGAUUGCUUGAGCCCAGGAGUUUGAGGCUGCAGUGAGCUAUGAUCUUGCCACUGCACUCCAGCCCAGUGACAGAGUGAGACCAUCUCUUUUAAAACCUAAGUACAUAAUCCACUUAUGAAAGCAAAAUUACAUUUCAUUGUAAGGUGGUACCUCCCUUGCAAAUUCCAAGGGUCUCUCCCGCCUAUUGGGAGGAUUAUGGGAUCAUCUUUCCCUUCUGCUUGGUAGACAGCAUAAGACAACGACUUGGCUUUUCUGUCUUGGCCCAGUGCUUGAUCUUGACCCACAACGUGGACUGCACAACCACAGGACUAAAGCACAGAAGUGCAGAUGGCAACCAGUCAGUGUCGACCUUCUUCAGGGCUCAGGGCCACCAGCAGGGCAGUAGCUCUUCAGAGCCCUUCCCAGGACACAAGGCGCACAUGCGAACCAGCAGCUGCCAGGGCCUUGCAGGGCAGCAAUGCAGGAUGACGAGGUCAAUGUCCUGGAGCCUCCAGGAAGCCAGAAAGCUACAGAAGUGGACGCUUACAAACACGCAGCUAAGGCAAAGGACACGUGUUAAACUAAACUCGCAGGAAUUGAUGGAUGAGUCACCUGUCACUCUAGAGGGAAGGUAAUCCUUCACCUUGGGAGACAGAUGAAUUUCUAGAAUCGUAAUUUUUUCAUGUGCAUAAAAAAAAAAUCUCCAAGAACCCAAAACUUGCUCCUUAAUAAAGUUUAUAGCCUAGGACCAGUUUUUCUUGUUCAUUUGCCUCUUAAUUACCAGGAGCACUUGACACAGAUCAGUAUGUUUGGAUUCAAUUAAGUCUGGGAUAAAGUCUGAGCAUUUAUAUUUUUGAAAAGCACCACAGGUGAUUCUGAUGCUUACCAAGCCCACUAAAUAGAUUGGGCUUCUCUUUCAUGGAAUGCCUCUAGUUAAAGCUAACUGUGUAAGUAACAGGAAUCGAAUCUCUACCAAGUGUGAGUACUGCUUUAUCAACGGGCUCUAAUUAAUUAUCUUAUCUGGACUUUGUUUUCCUUUUAUCUCCACCGAGGCUAUUUCCCUCUUCACUCUCCCUCUCAUCUGAGGAUGAUCCAAGAUCUCUGAGCCCGAGGUGGGUUUGUACUGCACACUGCUUUACAGAAUGCCUUGCACAUCGUAUAGCAUUUGCUCAUGAGAGUU
rnacentral:lncRNA from 1 species